rnacentral:lncRNA from 1 species
UAUAUAUAUAUAUAUAUAUAUAUAGAGAGAGAGAGAGAGAGAGAGAGAGAGAGUGUUUGACUGGGCUACUAUUGGUAGUAAAUUGCUCGGUUUACUACCAAUUUGAUUUUGAUGAUAGAGCUUCCAAAUCGACGAUCGGCACUGUUGAACAUAAUCUAGACCAUUUAAAUUAUCUAGAAAUCAAAUUUCAUGAUUUUUUGGUAUCACUAACUGAACGAUUAAAAGGUCACAAAAUCUAUAAUUUUAAUGGCCGAUAUGGUGCGUUUGCUCGUUUAACGGUAUAGAAGAGUUCAAAUN